rnacentral:misc_RNA from 1 species
GACCGGAAUCGGUGGUGAUCCGAUGGAAAAGAAUGUACCCUUUUUGUUCCAAGUUCGCAAUAUGUUCUUUUUAGAGGUCGGGUACUGGCCUGUUUUAACCCCAGGUGGCCUGUUUUAAUUAUGAGAGUGGCCUCUCAUGGAACGAUGUUCGCUAUACGAACUUGGUUCCGUGACAGCCGCCUUCAGGCUGCGGGUAGGACCACA